AGGACGAACGCUGGCGGCGUGCUUAACACAUGCAAGUCGAGCGGUAAGGCUCCUUCGGGAGCACACGAGCGGCGAACGGGUGAGUAACACGUGAGCAAUCUGCCCUUCACACUGGGAUAACCCCGGGAAACCGGGGCUAAUACCGGAUGCGACCACCGACGGCAUCGUCUGGUGGUGGAAAGUUCCGGCGGUGGGGGAUGAGCUCGCGGCCUAUCAGCUUGUUGGUGGGGUAAUGGCCUACCAAGGCUUCGACGGGUAGCCGGCCUGAGAGGGUGACCGGCCACACUGGGACUGAGACACGGCCCAGACUCCUACGGGAGGCAGCAGUGGGGAAUAUUGGACAAUGGGCGAAAGCCUGAUCCAGCAAUGCCGCGUGAGUGAUGAAGGCCUUAGGGUUGUAAAGCUCUUUUACCCGGGAUGAUAAUGACAGUACCGGGAGAAUAAGCCCGGCUAACUCCGUGCCAGCAGCCGC
rnacentral:rRNA from 1 species